rnacentral:rRNA from 1 species
GACGAACGCUGGCGGCGCGCUUAACACAUGCAAGUCGAGCGAGAACCGGACCUUCGGGUCCGGGGAAAGCGGCGAACGGGUGAGUAACACGUGGGCAACCCACCCUUGGUACUGGGAUAGCCCGGGGAAACCCGGAUUAAUACCGGAUGGCCCAACAGCUCUUCGGGGCGGUUGGAAAAGGUAGCUUCGGCCUCCGACCAAGGACGGGCCCGCGGCGGAUUAGCUUGUUGGUGGGGUAACGGCCCACCAAGGCGACGAUCCGUAGCUGGUCUGAGAGGACGAUCAGCCACACUGAGAGUGAGACACGGCCCGUACUCCUACGGGAGGCAGCAGUGGGGAAUCUUGCGCAAUGGGCGAAAGCCUGACGCAGCGACGCCGCGUGGGGGAAGAAGGCUUUCGGGUUGUAAACCCCUUUCAGGAAGGACGAGGCCACUCGGGUGAAUAGCCCAGAGGGUGACGGUACUUCCAGAAGAAGCCCCGGCUAACUACGUGCCAGCCGCCGCCGUAA